CUAGAACUGUUUGGAAAAGCAGGCCAUAGCGGGUGACAGCCCCGUAUAGGAAGCUCAAUGGAACGUAUUAAGUAGGGCGGAACACGUGAAAUUCUGUCU
rnacentral:rRNA from 1 species